rnacentral:lncRNA from 1 species
GGAGGCUGUUAAUAAAUAGUUUACACAAAGAAGAAAAGUGAUCGAAAAUGUUAUUCUACUUUUAACAGUCUUUGUAUAAUGAGGUCGUGAAUCUCGCAAUUAACAUUGUUUUGUUUCAGGAAACGGUUCCCUUUUUGGUUCAUCAUCGAAUAUUAUCUGCGCAGGAGUGGCAGAGCAACAUGGAUACCGAUUUAGCUUUUUGCAUUUUACCAAAGUUGGAUUACCAGUGAUGAUUACCAGUACCAUAAUCAUAACCAUGUACUUACUAGUCUGUCAUGUAAUUCUAGGCUGGCAGUAAAACCUUUCAACAAUGUCAUGAUAUAUUUAAUCAAUUGUUUAUACUUUUUGUUUCAAAUAUGUAUAUGUAAUUAUGAACUACCUAGUUUAUCCAGUUUAUUUUAAAUAAAUGUGAAUUUUAUUUUUCUAAAUUUU